GAUCAUGUUCCGACUAAUUCUGCUGCAGCUGCUUCUGGCAGCAGGAAGUGUGAGGUGUGAACAGCUGACACAGCCAUCAUCCGUAGUUUUGCAGCACGGCCAGCAGCUAUCCAUCGGCUGUCAGGUCUCUUAUUCUGUGGGUAGCCAUCACACUCAUUGGAUCAGGCAACCACCAGGAAAAGGGCUGGAAUGGAUCGGAGGAGCUCGUGUUGGAUAUGCAACAUACCAGAAAGAAUCUCUAAAGAACAAGUUCAGUUUCAGCUUGGAGUCUUCCAGCAACACAGCGACUCUGAACGGCCUGAAUAUGCAGCCUGAUGAUACUGCUGUGUACUACUGUGCCAGACAGUCACAGUGAUACAAAACAUUAGUGGAGCUGUUCAAAAACCCCACAAAGCCUGAGCACAUGAUGAAGCCAGGAGAGGGAGGCAUUCUCACCAUAUAUGUGAUUUCAAGAGCUUUUGAGAAAUGCUGUCCUCUAAAUGUGCACAGUAAAGGUUGAGAAAUUAAGUUCUUGUUUUAUAACUGGAAAUCACUGAAAUCCAUAUUAUGGACUGAAAG